rnacentral:rRNA from 1 species
AUGCAAAUUCUUGUCUGGAUGAGGAGCUUAUUAAUUAUAUCGAGUGAUAUAGUCUAUGCACCAGCUCAUGCUGUGAUUGGGGAUUUGUGCUGUGAGCUUCAGAGCAAGGAAAUUCUAGUACAAAGAAUAUAUUGUCAUCUGAUUGCGGAAGUAUGUUUGGAAGCACUGAGGUUUUCAUGGCUGCCACUUCAAGGUAAUAUCUGUAGCCCACUCGCAAAUUUUCUACUGAAGAAAUCAAUUGGCAUAUCUCUGCAAUCCUAUUGGGAAGGUACAAAUUCUUUUGCGGUGAUGUUGACACCAAGUCUGCAAAUGUACGAGCAUAAGAACAAAUUCAGUUUACUGGAGCAUGAUAUAUCAGUGGUUCUCCGUGUUGCUCAUGGUAGUAUUGUAAUUCAGUGCAUCCUUGUGCAUCAGAAGAUGCCCAAUUGCAGUUUCGGAAACACAUAUAGAACAAAGAAUUACAUCGGAAUAGUUGCAUAUGCGGACUCCCAAUGGGCAACUACAUGGUUCUUUUCCUUGGUGUGUGUGGCUGUAUAUAAGAGGUUCCAUGGCAUGUAUUGUUCCGUUGCACGACAUGACAUCACCACUUCCAACAGUGCAUCAUUCUUCUUAAGGGGGCCUCCUUAUUGUUUAUGUCUUGGAGGAGAUAUGCUAUAUAGUAGCAUUAUCAGUGCACAUAUGGCAUCUGCUUCGCUGGCCAGAAAAGGGUUAGGCAGAGAUGCUCAUUUCUUGUUCCUUGGGUCCUCUUGCUCUGAUUCAGUCCUGUUGAUCUUUGAAACAUUCGACUGGCGAAUUGCCUGGCCACCCCCCUCUAGAGGUCAUGUUCUUGUCUCCAGCUAUAUCAACUGCUUCAGUUUCUUCCAAGUUUACUUGGUUGUGGAUCGCUUCUCGUUGAACUUGUUGGUUUUGUGUGUGGCUGAGCUCUUCACCUAUAAUUCUGAAAUUUCCCAAUGGAUAAUAGCUUGGUUUCUCAAGUUGGGGCAUUCUGCCAGUGCUAUCAUGUUGAAGCAAGCAUUCUCUCAGUCACUGGAAUUAUGGCAUAUUACUGUUCUUGGUAGUACUUUGAAGACAAGUACAAUUACUCGUCCUCUAGUCUUGCUUCAUUGGGAUCCAGGUGUGGGCUUCAUAAAUGACAGUUGGCUAUGCUGGAAAUGUUUCUCCUUGAAAGACAAUUUCAGCUGGCCUCAGUUUGUUACAAGAAAUUUGUUUGUAACCUCACAAUGGAACCAUGGUCUGCUCAGCUUGAUCACUCUUGCAGGGUGGGAGUUCACAAGUAGAUACAUGUCGAUUACCUACAGGGGAAAAUAG